rnacentral:rRNA from 1 species
CCUACGGGCGGCAGCAGUGGGGAAUAUUGGACAAUGGGCGAAAGCCUGAUCCAGCCAUGCCACGUGUGUGAAGAAGGCCUUCGGGUUGUAAAGCACUUUCAGUGGGGAAGAAAGCCUUGGGGCUAAUACCCUCGAGGAAGGACAUCACCCACAGAAGAAGCACCGGCUAACUCCGUGCCAGCAGCCGCGGUAAUACGGAGGGUGCGAGCGUUAAUCGGAAUUACUGGGCGUAAAGCGCGCGUAGGCGGUCUGAUAAGCCGGUUGUGAAAGCCCCGGGCUCAACCUGGGAACGGCAUCCGGAACUGUCAGGCUAGAGUGCAGGAGAGGAAGGUAGAAUUCCCGGUGUAGCGGUGAAAUGCGUAGAGAUCGGGAGGAAUACCAGUGGCGAAGGCGGCCUUCUGGACUGACACUGACGCUGAGGUGCGAAAGCGUGGGUAGCAAACAGGAUUAGAUACCCCUGUAGUC